rnacentral:rRNA from 1 species
GAUGAACGCUAGCUACAGGCUUAACACAUGCAAGUCGAGGGGCAGCAUGUAGGCGGGCUUGCCCGCCUAUGAUGGCGACCGGCGCACGGGUGAGUAACGCGUAUCCGACCUGCCGCACACUCCGGGAUAGCCUUGCGAAAGCAAGUUUAAUACCGGAUGCCGUCGUGAUGCCGCAUGGUGUCAUGACGAAAGGUUGAUUCCGGUGUGCGAUGGGGAUGCGUCCCAUUAGCUGGUUGGCGGGGUAACGGCCCACCAAGGCGACGAUGGGUAGGGGUUCUGAGAGGAAGGUCCCCCACAUUGGAACUGAGACACGGUCCAAACUCCUACGGGAGGCAGCAGUGAGGAAUAUUGGUCAAUGGGCGUAAGCCUGAACCAGCCAAGUAGCGUGCAGGAUGACGGCCCUAUGGGUUGUAAACUGCUUUUAAGCGGGGAUAAAGUCAGGGACGUGUCCCUGUUUGCAGGUACCGCUUGAAUAAGGACCGGCUAAUUCCGUGCCAGCAGCCGCGGUAAUACGGAAGGUCCGGGCGUUAUCCGGAUUUAUUGGGUUUAAAGGGAGCGUAGGCGGGACGCCAAGUCAGCUGUGAAAUGCCAUGGCUCAACCAUGGAGCUGCAGUUGAAACUGGCGUUCUUGAGUUGUCGCAGGGGCGGUGGAACUCGUGGUGUAGCGGUGAAAUGCUUAGAUAUCACGAAGAACUCCGAUCGCGAAGGCAGCCGCCCGGUGGCCGACUGACGCUGAGGCUCGAAGGUGCGGGUAUCAAACAGGAUUAGAUACCCUGGUAGUCCGCACGGUAAACGUUGGAUACUCGCGGUUGGUUUUUAUUGAGUCAGCCGCCAAGCGAAAGUGUUAAGUAUCCCACCUGGGGAGUACGCCGGCAACGGUGAAACUCAAAGGAAUUGACGGGGGCCCGCACAAGCGGAGGAACAUGUGGUUUAAUUCGAUGAUACGCGAAGAACCUUACCCGGGUUUGAAUUCGGCAGGAAGUCUCCGGAGACGGGGAUGUCCCUUCGGGGUCUGCCGGAAGGUGCUGCAUGGUUGUCGUCAGCUCGUGCCGUGAGGUGUCGGCUUAAGUGCCAUAACGAGCGCAACCCUCGCCUACGGUUGCCAUCGGGUGAUGCCGGGCACUCCGUGGGGACUGCCCCCGCAAGGGGCGAGGAAGGGGGGGAUGACGUCAAAUCAGCACGGCCCUUACGUCCGGGGCUACACACGUGUUACAAUGGGUGGUACAGCGGGCAGCGCGGCGGCGACGCCAAGCGAAUCCCGAAAGCCACCCCCAGUUCGGACUGGAGUCUGCAACCCGACUCCACGAAGCCGGAUUCGCUAGUAAUCGCGCAUCAGCCAUGGCGCGGUGAAUACGUUCCCGGGCCUUGUACACACCGCCCGUCAAGCCAUGAAAGCCGGGGGUGCCUGAAAGCCGUGACCGCGAGGGUCGGCCUAGGGUAAGACCGGUGAUUGGGGCU